AUUCAUAUAGCUUAUAUUAGAGUUUAAUAUUGAAGAUAUUGUGGAAGAAAUUAUCUUGUGAAUA
rnacentral:tRNA from 1 species